GUCACGUGCGAGAAAUCGUCUCACCCCAGCCAGUGUGAGGGAGUGAGAGCAAAAGAAAGUUUUGAUAGCAGCGUACGAUUUAUAUUCAGCUGUAUGCUGGACAGGUCCAACUUGGCAUUUCUUGGCUGUAUCUCUGAAGGAAAGUCAUCUUAAUCUCUAUGAGCCUCCAUUUCCUCAGCUGUAAAAUGGGAAGAUCUUCCUCACACUGCUGUGGCCCAGAACCAUAUCCUGCUCCACAAGCCUCGUCCUUGGCAAGAAGUUGCACCUGCCCAGAGAGAAAACCUUUUGAAACUGGCACAAAGGCACUGGAGAGACUGGCAGGGCCCCCUACUUGACGAUCUGGCUCAUCCAUCUGCACACUGACCACGCUAAGAGCUGUCUGCAGUGAUGGAAACCUUCUCUAGCUGUGCU
rnacentral:lncRNA from 1 species